ensembl:lncRNA
UUUCUGUGAACAUGGCAUUUCCUGUAAAAGUUCCCUUUGAAAGGCUCAUUGAGUGUGUGCAGACGGCGGCAGACUCCCACACAUGAAUGCAUCAGUAGCAGGGAAGACAAACAGGUGUUUUUUCUUGGGGGAGAAUUUUUGAUCUGCACACUGUGAGUUUCUCACGAACUCGGUGCGUGACCUUUUUUGGGAAGCACCGUGACCUAAACCGGUGCAGGGCGGUAUACUGUUUCUACAGAUGGAACCCAUGUGUACCUCGACUGAUCCAUAUCUUGUUUUUCUCUCUACCUUUUGCCUGGGACUCAUUGAGUCACUCCCCCGGACGCUCAGGUGGCGGCACGGAUCUCUGCCUCUCUGACUGACAUCUGUGGGUGGGUGUCUGCUCAACCAUCAACCACGACAAGACUGAACCACUUCUCCUUCCCGGGAAAAGAUUCUCCGACCCAGGAACUGACGGUUACCUUUGGCAACUCCGUGUUAACGCCCGCUUUGACUGCGAGGAACCUCGGCGUGCCACUCGACAGCCAACUCUCCGUGACUCCCAACGCCAUUGCGACAACACAAUCCUGUAGACACACGCUCUGCAACCUCAGGAGAAUACGUCUCCUCCUCAGAAGGAACUGGAGUCAGGCCGCUGCUGGUGUGCGUGGCAGCGGCGGUGGGGCCUGCCCAGCGUCACUGUCUCCUGCCAACGGGUGUGCCAGCUGGUCACUGCAGUCAUCUUCUCUUCUCCAGAGGAACGAUCCAACGCGCAGUCCAGCAGCGGCGCCAAUUAAUAACGAAUCACACGCGUGCCCCAUAAGCAUGCUCACCGACGAAUUAAAUGUGCCCUCUUUCUCUGGGAAAGCACUUCUGUUAGGCAGAUCACACACAAACUAUUUGGCCUGCGUCCCGGGGACUCCAGGGCUCACAACAUGAUCGCAGGCGCGGUCCAGCCGGGGUCACUCCGAGCGCUGCUCAGCCCGGACUCCUUUCCCACGGAAACCGUGAGCAGCGGCUCAAGAGACGGCAAAAAACAAGCUGCGGCAGUGAGAGUUUGCAAUGAUGACCCUCAUUUAUCACAUGCGAGGGCCUUUCGUAUGUGCUGAUAGUCACACUUAUAUUACAGAUAUUAUUAACACAUUUGUGGGAAUUGGCUCUCUUGCGGUGAGUUAGCUAGUUUAGCCUUUAAUAUGGGUCUUUUUUUACAUUUUAAUAUGAUAAAAUUGGAUUUUACAGAAAUAACUAUCUAAAUGAUUCCGUGAAGUCUUGACCAUUUCUAACUACGUUGCUAAUAGGUCGCAGCACAGUGUUAAUAGUUUAAAAUCAUACAAAACUGACCCCUCUCAUCAGUAGACACCUGAUUUGAACCACGCAACAAAUAAAAAAUAUGUUUUUUUGUCACUGUUGUGAUAUUUGAGUGAAAUUCAUUUGAAAAAAGGGGGGUGUUUUAACAGCAAGCAAGAUUUAGUGAGAGUUUUUUCCUUUUUUUGGUAGACGUGUUUUUCUGUUUCUCCUCCAUUAAUUACAUUCUAUCAUCUGGAGAACAUAUUUUUCAUCUCACACAUCAUUACCAAGUCACAUAAAUCAGAGAGUACUUCACUUCAUGUCUCGACUGGUUGGCAAAAGGCAUUCAAGGAUGCGUGGCAUUUCAUAUUCUAUAAAAGAUGAUCAGCGUUGGUUAAAGACUGGAGUUUAUAAACUGAAAACAGGUUUUAUCUUGAAGAAUCACGCUGCACCAAUCGGCAAACUUGCAAGGUAUGCAGCUAAAAAAAUGAGAAUGUUUCCAGAUGAGAGUGAUUGCUGGUAUACUUGAAAAAUGGCUCCUUUCCAAAGGUUUCUAUUUCAUUUCAAAGUGCUGUUUUCCGCUGAAUGGCCGAGGCUUACUGGCAAUUACCUCAAACAAAUGAUCCAUGCGUUCAUUUAUUCUCCCUCAUAUCAUCAUCAUCUCUGUCCCCUUGCUCAACUCAAAUCAUAUUUUUCCGGUUUUCCUACUUCUUAAUUAAAGGUUCAGAUGUUGUUGUUGUUUUUUUUUAAAUCAGCUGCCUGAGACAUUUGAACAUAACAUUUCCAAAUGUUCGAGUAUGAAAACGCUCUCGGUAAUUACCGACGUUGUUGCGUUGGGUUUGAACUAUGUAGCCAUCAUGAGGUUUGGGAUAAAUGGACCAAUGAACUAAUUUGGGCUGCAUCUGAACUACUGACGCGGUUACGACUUCAUGAUAUCUCCUCUACAUUUGGGGUUUUGAGUUAAAUG